UCAAAAAAAAGUUAUAUAUAUGUUUUUUUUAACAUAAGUGAGAAAAUUACAUUAUAUAAACACACUUAACAGAAUCCAGUUACUGUUGCAAUUACAACAGGAAACACAUUUUACACAUUUGCACAAAAUAAUUCGUGCGGACCCCGGUUCUGACUCCUGGCAUGGCUCUGCUGACACCUGCUGCUGCUGCCAUCAUCAUUACUUUAAAUAUGAUUCAUAUUACUGUCAUCAUAAACCAACAUAUUUCUGCUCUCCCUCCCCACAGAAGCCUCUGUGGAUGGUGGGAUCGACCUGAUGGUGGUUGUCCCUGCAGUGGUCCUGCCGUACACUUGUUCUGCUACUUGAAAUUACUUGUAUCAUUUCUGUUAGAGAAAUUGAAUGUAUUGUACAUCUUUUACAUUGUUGGUUAUGUACACAUGACAUACAUUGCAGUCUGGCCAUCCCGGGAGAGGGAUCCCUCCUCUGACGUUCUCCCUAAGGUUUCUUCCCUUUUUUCCCCAUUGAAGGGUUUUUUAAUAUUUUGGGGAGUUUUUCCUGUGCCGAUGUGAGGGUUUCGGGACAGAGGAUGUGGCAAGUGUACAGACUGUAAAGCCCUCUGAGGCAAAUUUGUAAUUUGCGAUUUUGGGCUAUACAAAAUAAAAUGAAUUGAAUUGAAUGUCAGUAUAAAUUAUCAGAACUUAAAUGAAUAUACAUGGCACACUUUUAGUUCUGACUGUUAAACGAUACUUACUGUCACAAAAUAUAGUCGUAGCAAAUAGCAAAUGUCUUUGAAACUACCUACAGAUUUGAAAAUUACGUUGGUUAAUGACAGGACCGUUAAACCAAAUGAUGGAAAUUAAUAACUGAACUUGUAACAGUUUUGUUGCAAAGCACAUAUUAUGGUGAAAUUACAAACCUUGUGUUUGUUGAGAUAAAACCGAAUUAUUGUUGUAUAAGCAUUAAGCAAAAUAGCAAAAAGGCUAACAGACGAAACAUGUUUCACACAUGUUUAAUCAUACAGAGAGAACAUAGUUGCAUACCUUGCUCGUUUCUCCUCUUCUUUUCUUUCUAUAGUGGGAACCGGAUGGCUUUAACCUUUUUCUGCCCAUCUCAGUUUUAUUUGCCACUAACUUGACAAGCAACAGAUUUCCCAUCCACCCAACACUGUCAGUCACGACCAGAAGUCAAGACUAAACCAAUUGUAUUACCAAUUUUUAUUGGCCAUUUCAUACAAUUCAUAAAAAACAAAAAUGUUGCAGGAACCCGUGCCCAGAACCGUAUCCAGAACAUUUUUAGUGGGGUGGCCAAGAUGGGACACAAAGCUAGUGUGGGGUGGCCAUGGUAGACGGCGCUGUCUCCAUUUAAGCAGCAAUUUAACAGAACCUAUAUACAAUCCGUUACAUAUAUAUAAACAAUUGUAACAAAAACCAAACAAAUCUUAACUCCAAACAAAGUAUAUACUAUGAAGUAAUGUUAUGUAAACCUUUAAACCCUCAUGAACAAUAGGGGAUUCUAAUAAUAGUAACAAAGUACAAUAGAGGUAGCUAGUUCUUGCUUUUGCUCAUUCUGCUGCUACAAAAUGCUUUCACAUAGGGCCAAGACCACAAGACAAUACUUUAAGUCCAAUGCAAUGCCACCAUGUCAAGUGACUUUGCUCUUCUAGCUUCAAUGCUAAGAACACCAAGGUUGCUCAGUCUGUCAUCUGUCCUUGUUGUGCGCAAAUGGGUCUUGAUGAGUUUAAGAGCUGAGAAGCUGCGCUCACAUGGAGCACUGCUUACCGGGAGGGCUAUGGCUAUCUUGCACAGACGAAAAAGCUCGUGAAAAACAUCCUUAUGAGGUUCAAGGAACACUGCAAGUUCAACAAUACCGAACAAGUUCGGCAUUCCACUUUGCUGUUUCCUUUGCAAAAGUCUCCUUGUCUGGUGGAGUUCAUGACUGAGAUCUUCAGAGUCACUUUCAUAAAUUUCUGCUUUUAAGAAAGACUGCUUCAUCUUGAAGGAAACAUCUGCUUUUGGGGUCCAAAGCUUGUAUUCCUCUUAUUAUUUCACAAUUGUCUUUGGAAAAGCGCCUGUCUAACUCUCUAAGUAUGGUGUCUACAAUGGGGUAGAAGAUUGUCCUCCUAAAGGAAUCCUUGUCACCAUCGUUACAUUUGCGCUGACCCAAUGUAGAGGUUAUGACGGACCCACCAAGUCAGGAAUUUGAAUGCAAUUUGCUCUGCCUCUGCCUAUUUAAACGUCUAAAAAUAUGUGAAGAUGAGCUAAUUGAUACAAACAAAAGUCCUUUAUCUCCAAGAGCAAAUAGUCUUUAAACAGCCCUUAAAUCACAGAGCAAAUAAAUAAGUUAGCUUGUUCUUGUGUUAUAGCUACCUAAAUCUAGACUGUCACACCAUAUUUGAGACACUGUUAGCUCUAUUGCACACACAUCUGCAAACAAACACCCUCAGUCUUCAGUCCAGAAAACAGCGUUUCAUAUUUCAUGGCGGUAUCCUAAUAAUAAAAAAUAAAAAAAUGCUAACGUUCAACGCUUAACUUGGUUUGCAGGCUGCUAAGCUAGCCAGCUAGUGCAGUGUAGUUUGACUUUUGGCUGCUACUUAGUGCUAGAAAAAGUUUUCCUACACAUUCAGAGGGAACAACGAUAUAACUAAACAUUAAAUUACCAUACCUCUCAAUCGACAGAUUCCGGCGUUUUUAUCGUUGUUGUAUCGUCGCUGUUGUAAACUGUGACCGUCCUCCUGUUUCACGGACCAGCGGCAGGUGCAGCGCACUCAUCUCAUGGAUCACCUGACCUGCAUGGCCAAACGUCCGCUGAAAAGAAAUCAGCUCUCACAGCCUCAGUACAACCAUUACUGUGAUAGUUAAAAAUGUAAAACUGGCCCUAAAUCAGUUGUUCGGCUGUCAUCAUUGAUUGACAGCAUGUUACGUUCUGCCUCCCCAGGAGGGGAGUGGGAUUCACGCCACUGCCCGAGGACGUCCCGUGGCCAGUAAACGGGGUGUGGUGUUGUAGGUGCAAGAAUUUGACAUGAGCAGAAGUAGAGACAAACAGGCUUUUAUUUUUAGCGCUGUUAACAGGGGAAAUGAGGAGAGCUGGCGGUACCAAAGAAAAGAACAAAAUGCCUCCCACCCCCUUACCUGUCCUAUUUCCCAACGAAAAUCACAAACUAACUGGCACACUAACAAGGCGCCCUACCCAAACUUACAGUAGGUGGCCCAGCCAGGUGUAGCUAGUGUGAUUAAACAGGAGAGUAACCCUACAUGCAGGGAUGUAAACUCCAGAGCAGGGCUAAACUACUCCUCAUCCCCCUGUAAUAAAAAGAACAAAGAAAAAACACUUAAUUGAAUACACAGUAUACCAAAUCACUAGCACUAACAAUUACCCAACCAUACACCAGCACUCACAUACACACAACCAGAGUGCCACACACCCGGGUGAAACAAACACAGGGGUACAUAUACUGACAGAAGGGCAUGAGUGGAAACAGCUGAACCGGGUAACGAGCGGGGGUGGAGCCAAGAUUAAUGGAGAUCAUGGACGAUCAGUACCACCUGUAUGAACACACACACAAAACAGAACACAUACACAAACCGAUACACAGAACAGGGGACGUAACACGCCCACCACUAAAAGACACAACAUACAGUUAGUGUCACACCGACAGUACACCACGUACCCUGCCAACGAAGACCCCUGGCAACAAAUCUCUUACCAGCCUUGCGAGAGUGCAUCAGCAACAACGUUGUCAGAACCCUUAAAAUGUUGGAUCGUUAAAUUGUACCCCUGCACAAUCAACGCCCACCGCAUCAACCGCCUGUUGCUGUUAUACAUCCAGCUGAGGAAAACUAGAGGGUUAUGAUCGGUGUACAUCGUCACGGGUAAGGCGCUAGACCCAACAUACAGUACACUUCGAAGAAUUGCAAAGCUAACAGUAGUCCUAACGUCUCCUGUUCGACUGUUGAAUAUCGUGUUUGACAGGGCGUGAAUUUCUUAGAAUAGUAGCACACGGGCCUAUCGAUUCCCUUGUCAUCCUCCUGUAUCAGAACUGCUCAUGCACCCAUGCUACUGGCGUCGACUUCCAGCUUAAAGGGCUUGCUGGAAUCAGGAGCAGCUAAAACUGGGGAGGCACAAAGAAGAGCUUUAGCCGACUCGAAUGCUUGUUGGCACUCUGCCGACCAUGCAUAUUGCACUUUUUGUCUCAGUAAUGAGGUGAGUGGGGCCAUUACCGUAGAGAAAUUCCUACAGAAUGUACGGUAAUAACUAACCAUACCAACAAAUCGUCGCAGCUGGCGUCUGGUAAUUGGGACAGGAUAUGACACGAUAGCUUCUACUUUUCUAGCUAUGGGGCGCACCUCGCCCCGGCCUACUUCCUUCCCUAAGUAGGUCACUGUGGCCUUCCCAAAAUCACAUUUUGCUUGGUAUAGGGAUGACACAUCAUAUACUUUCUUCAUUUUUCUGGCCUGCGCUCGUGUCACAACACACGCAGGAAACACUGACCUGUCUGUCUCUGUUCCAAUGUAGGCGGGAUUAGGGUUGUCCACAACCUCUGGGACCGGGACCACUCUGCCCCCUGCUAUGUCGUUGCCCAGUAGAAAUGACACCCCAUCUACUGGCAACUUUGGUACCACACCCACACGGACACGGCCAGAGACGAUAGACGAUGACAGGUCCCCUGGCGGAGGGCUGGGCAGCAGGAGCACGAGAAGUUCUGACCGCUUGGACAGAGACGCCACAACCUCCUGUGCCUUCCCUGUCAGCUUGCACUGGAGUAGCAAAGGCCAGACCUCCUUAGGCCAGUGAAGCACCCCUGCUACUCGCUCGAAGGCGGAGAAAUACGAGUCCACCUCUGACUCACGGAAUGGAGGUCAGCUUCGAGACAGGCUACACGAAGCCGGAGCCUAGCAGUCUCCACCGACCAACCAGACUCCUCAGGAGACGGCUGAAACUUGGGCAGGGUUAGAGGCACUCGGGACUCAACCCCCACACCAGCCUCCGGCCGUAUAGGCGAGGAGCCCGGCGGAACCUCCACCCUUUCCAACCCUUCCUCAUCCUUGUCCUCCUCUUCCUCCUGUGAGGCAACAACACCUUGAGCCAAUAAAUGCUGUGAUAUGGUUGCAACUAUUACGGCCUUGAGUGAUUGUUUGGUUGUUUUGAUGCCAUAAUUUGCCGCGACAGCCAACAGGUCUACUUUAGUAAACUUCUGCAGCUCCUCAAGAGAAGGGUCCGCAAUAAACAAAUCGACUGCCCCUGACGCCAUGCUGUACGCCAAGAGUCCACUAACUACAUAAACACAAAGACACACCAAAUACAAACACCAAACUGAACAAUCAGGAACACCUAUACAAAAACCACAACAAGCCAGUCCUCACCCACACCCGUACCACACCACAGAUACCGACCACAGGGACACCCAAGCAGCAGAGCGAGAAUCCCGGACGAGCCUCCACUUGUUAUGUUCUGUUAUGUUCCCAAGACGUCCCGUGGCCAGUAAACGGGGUGUGGUGUUGUAGGUGCAAGAAUUGGACAUGAGCUGAAGUAGAGACAAACAGGCUUUUAUUUUUAGCGCUGUUAACAGGGGAAAUGAGGAGUGCUGGCGGUACCAAAGCAAAGAAAAGAACAAAAUGCCUCCCACCCCCUUACCUGUCCUAUUUCCCAACGAAAAUCACAAACUAACUGGCACACUAACUAGGCGCCCUACCCAAACUUACAGUAGGUGGCCAAGCCAGGUGUAGCUAGUGUGAUUAGACAGGAGAGUAACCCUACAUGCAGGUAUGUAAACUCCAGAGCAGGGCUAAACUACUCCUCAUCCCCCUGUAAUAAAAAGAACAAAGAAAAAACACUUAAUUGAAUACACAGUAUACCAAAUCACUAGCACUAACAAUUACCCCACCAUACACCAGCACUCACAUACACACAACCAGAGUGCCACACACCCGGGUGAAACAAACACAGGGGUACAUAUACUGACAGAAGGGCAUGAGUGGAAACAGCUGAACCGGGUAACGAGCGGGGGUGGAGCCAAGAUGAAUGGAGAUCAUGGACGAUCAGUACCACCUGUAUGAACACACACACAAAACAGAACACAUACACAAACCGAUACACAGAACAGGGGACGUAACACAGCAUUUCUCUUGUUUCUUGUGUUGACGAACUUUACCAACUACCUAUCAGAUCUGGGGUGGCCACAGGGGUGGCCAAUGAGCUUUCAGGGGUGGCCUCGGCCAUCCCCCAGUGCAUUGGAUCCAACAUUUGAAAAACUGCCCUGAAGCUCUACAUUAACAUCAUUAGAACAUCAAGAUCAGUAUUGGGCAGAGGUGGGACACAGUCAUUGUUAUGCAAGUCACAAGUAAGUCUCAAGUCUUUGCCCUCGAGUCCCGAGUCAAGUCGAGUCAAAGAUGAGUCAAGCCCCCAAGUUGAGUCAAAAGUCAAAGCCAACAAGUCUCAAGUCGAGUCAAAAGUCUUAACAAUUUAGUAUUGAGUCAUUUCAAGUCCU